ACCCACGAUUAUGACGUCAAGAUGCGCAACGUCGUGAAAUUUCUCGAGAAUGGCGACAAGGUGAAGGUCACCCUGCGUUUCCGCGGCCGCGAGAUGGCACACCAGGAACUGGGGAUGGAUCUUCUUAACCGCGUCGCCUCGGAUAUCGAGGAAAUCGGCAAGAUCGAGAACAUGCCACGGCUUGAAGGACGCCAGAUGGUGAUGAUGAUCGGCCCGCGCUGAGCCGCGCCCGCCGGUGUUCCAAGAAGCCCCCGCUUGGGGGCUUUUUCAUUGGGAGUGUCCGCAAACUGCGUUGGUGACCUUCCAAUUAGAGCAAAAUGGCCAA
rnacentral:misc_RNA from 1 species